UGGAUGGUAGUGUAUUGGACUACCAUGGCAAUCACGGGUAACGGAGAAUUAGGGUUCGAUUCCGGAGAGGGAGCCUGAGAAACGGCUACCACAUCCACGGAUAGCAGCAGGCGCGAAAAUUGCCCAAUCCCGAUUCGGGGAGGCAGUGACAAGAAAUAACAACCUUUGAACUUAGUUUCAGGAUUGCAAUGAGAACAAUUUAAAAACCUUAUCAAGUAACCACUGGAGGGCAAGUUCUGGUGCCAGCAGCCGCGGUAAUUCCAGCUCCAGUAGCGUAUAUUAAAGUUGCUGCAGUUAAAAAGCUCGUAGUUGAAUUUCUGCCUGUAAGAAUCAACACACUACUGUGGAGGUCUCUUCGGGCAUCUGUUUGCAAGCAUACGUUCGGCCUUUACUGGUUGGCUAUGUAAGCAAACGUUUUACCUUGAGAAAAUUAGAGUGUUCCAGGCAGGCUUCAGCCGGAAUACAUUAGCAUGGAAUAAUGGAAUAGGACUGGGGACUAUUCAUGGUUUGAGGCUCCAGUAAUGAUUAAUAGGAACAGUCGGGGGCAUUAGUACUUUACAGUCAGAGGUGAAAUUCUUGGAUUUGUAAAAGACUAACUAAUGCGAAAGCAUUUGCCAAGCAUGUUUUCAUUAAUCAAGAACGAAAGUUAGGGGAUCAAAGACGAUCAGAUACCGUC
rnacentral:rRNA from 1 species